UUGUUUUUUAAUUGAAGACUGGAAUGAAUGGCUCGACAAGAAGAAAGCUGUCUCUUUUAUAAAAUUUGAAUUUAACUUUUAAGUGAAAAGGCUUAAAUAAUAUAAGGGGACGACAACACCCUAUAAAACUUUAAAACAACUGGUCUAUGUUUCUCUUAAAUUAAAACUCAGUUUAUUAUACUAGUGUAUAACAAAGAGAAUGAGAUUGUGUAGGCUUAUAUUGUUCUACUGGGGCGGUAGUGAUAAAAAAAGUAACUGUCAUGAGAAUAUAUAAUACAUUUUUGUACAAAAGCGUACAUUAAUAUUUUGUUUGAGCAUAAGUAAUAUAUUAUACAUAUGCUUUUUGGAAAAUAAUUAUAAUUAGUUAAUAUUGAUCUUCUAAAAUUAUUAUUAUUAAUAGUAAAAAUAUAACAACAAUAAGAUUAGGAAUUAAGAGAGUGAGUUACUUUAGGGAUAACAGCGUAAUUUCUCUUGAGAGUGCAAAUCGACAGAGUUAGUUGCGACCUCCAU
rnacentral:rRNA from 1 species